CACUUACUUGUGCUCUUCCUCUCCACUUUAUUAUUCUCAUCCUCCUUCGCUUUCCAAUCAGACGAGCUCCUCCGGAGUUUGGUCUCGAGUUACCACAGAUUCGCCGCCGAAGCAGACUCCGAGUAUCCGUAGACGGUACUCGGAUCCUGAUCUGGACUCCAAGAUCCAAUUCACCCUCGAACAUGCCUUCGGAGACUCUGAUUUCUCCUCCGCCGGUACUUUCUCCGCUCGCCUCAAGACUUGGAGCCACGGUGGUCAGACACUAACGAAACUGCGCUUCUCUAGGAAUGAGUUUUCUAAUGCCUUUAAAAAUCUGCUGAAGGGAGAUGACUUUUAUAGAAUAAGACUCCCAUCUAAUGUUGUUAGUCCACCUGGGAGAGAGUAUGUGAUUCCAUCAGUGAGAGCUAGAUGUCUUGUCUUCCACGGGAUGGUUUGGAUGAGCAUAUUGUUAAUUCGUUAUACACAUGGAUGGUGCCAACAUUUUGGCAGUCAGUUACGGCUCUCCUGGAGCGUGUCCGUAUCCUCGACAGUUGAAAUUUCCAGGAAAAUGGACAUUUAACUCCCACACUAUCUUGAAGAGUAGUGAGCAGGCACCAAGAACUCCGAUAUUAUUACAGUGGAUGUACCUGAUACCACUUGGACUCAUAGUGAUGAAUACAAGCGAGUAACAUGGCGGAAGAACAAACUCCGGGGUCUCAAGGGCAAGCACCAGCAGCGAUUCAGCGCGGUUCCGCACCCAGGAGAAGAUGAUGAUUCCUUUCUCAAUUUCUUAUAAACAUGAUUUUUUUUUUUUAAUACUUAUAUAUCUGUUGUGGAGCUAUGUCACUGGAACAACAUGCAUUCGUAGGCUAGUUAUUGUAACGACCAGACUAUCCAGCCGGUGUUAUGACUACUAGCUUAACAUUGUUAUUUGAUUUUACAUGUGAUAAAUAAUUUUAGACUUCA